UUGCCGACUCGGCUCAGCUCCCCCGGCGCCGCCCCGCGAGGCUCCCGUUGCGCCGCCAUCUGGCCGCCCCGGGUUUCUUUUUGGAGAUUUCCCUAAUCCCUUUCUCACAGAAUGUUUUGUGAGGCGCCGGGCUAUAAGCACGCUUUGUCGAGAAAUCACUAAUUUCAGUGCUCCAGAAAACCAUUUUCUUUCUGUUUUACCUCAUUUCCACCCUUAAAAAAAUCAAACUUAGAGCUCCGUGCUGGUCGGGCGACGCAACGCUUCCCGGCCACGUCCGGAGGCAGGACGUGCCCCGCGGCUUCCAGGCUGGCUUCCAGGCUUCCUAGCACAAGGGCCUCGUGUUCCAGUCCUGCCCACACACUGCCGCCUCCAUUUCCGGACGCACCCCCCAAGCUCCCCCGCGGUCCCCGCGGCCGCGGAAUGCGCGUUGCUCUCUAGCGACAGCGACGGUCUCGGUGUCUGCUUCCCGCGGGCGGCGCGCAGCCUUCCGGCCGUUGCUGCUGCUUUUCCUUUGCUUCCCCACGCGCAGGUGCCAAGGUAAGCCGGACGCAUUAGUAUUCACACGUUGUGCGCGCAGCCCAGCCAACACGUACCGGAGGGAAAACAUUAUUUCUCAUAAGUGCUCCAUAAUCAUAGUCUUUAUUGCAUCCAAAUCUAUAGUGUGGCACAUAGUGGAAAGGUUUUGGAUUCUCCGUGGAAGAAGCGACAGACUCUGGCAGGCAACAAAGGCAAGAAAAAAUACAUCAUCAGAGAAGGAUAAUUUCUCUGUAUAAACGUAGGGUGACGUUGGGACCAGACGCUGCAACAAGGAGCUGCCACCACCGUCUACUGUGCUGCUGCUCCAGAGCUGGAGGGCCUCGGAGGGAUGUACUUCAACAACUGCUGCCGCUGCAUGCCGUCCCCGGAGGCUCAGAGCGAGGAGACGGCGCGGGCCCUGUGGGCGCUCAGCGAGAGGCUGAUCCAGGAGGGACCCGGUGGCCAGUCCGGCUAAGCGCGCGCCCGGUGAGCCUUGGUGCGCACACCGACCCUGCGCGUCUGCGCCUGCGCAGCUGCCGCCACUGGACCUCUGCCACCUAACUAGCCAGGGGCUUUCGGUGUCCACCCCCCACCCGACACAGAUCCGCCAGAGCAGAGGGAAUACAUACGAGUAGUCACGACAGAGGGAAAAAAAUACCGAGUACCGACGGGAAUUACAGGGCCCCGGGGACAGUCUUUUCUGGGGCUGGGCGAGGCUGGCGUCUCUUUGCUUCCCUGGUGGUGGCCUGUUGGAAGGUGAACGCUGAGCUGGUAUGCAGGCUCCUGUGUCACUGUGGAAGCCCGGGCUGUUCUCACGCGUGGCUUACAAUAGCCAGGCGCCCUCUGUCCCCUCCCCCUGCCACCGCCACGGCCCCACUGUAGCUUGGAGCUGGCCGAGGUGAGUGUUGAUCCUUUCAUUCGUCCUGACCAAGCCUGAGUGGACGCAGCAGUGACUGGGGGAGAGAGCUCUGGGAUCCCUCUUCCAGCCAGCCAAAAGAGAAGUGACACUUAGAAAUGGGGGGCUAGACACAGCUGGUGGGUCCCAAAGGGCUGGCCCAAGUCCCUUGCCAAAGCUGCCCAAAAAUUCUUGAUAGAUUAUUACAAACAAAUUUUGCAACUCAUUCCCUAGACACCUUGGCGGGCAAGAAAGGAAGCAUUGCGUCCAUGAGAAUAUACAGGCUAUGGAGGGGCAGAGGAGAAAAAAGUUGUUCCCCUUAUUCCUCAUUUGCAGUUUGAAGCAGCAUCCUGAUGGUGGAGGUUCCCAGCCUCCGGCUUAUCCUGCUUGAGCGUUUCCGCUUCACCUUCCUCUGCUCCUGCCUAGGCCUAAUAAGAGAACAUGCGUGAAAAUUA